CGGCGACUCCCCUUCCCUCCGCCCUCCCACCCAGAGCCCCCGCGGGCUGAGGGGAGCUGGGGGCUGAGGGGGACCCGGGACUUUAUGGGGACCCGGAGGUUGAAGAUGCUGGGGGGACUUGAAAGGCACCGGGAUAUUGAGGGGAGCCAGGUUUUGAGGGGGUCUGAGGUUUCUGAGGGGAGCCGGGGGAGUUUGAGGGGGUCUGAGGUUUCUGAGGGGAGCCGGGGGAGUUUGAUGGUGUCAGUAUGAGGGGAGCCUGGGACACUUGAUGGGGACCAGGGAUUCUGUGAGGAGCCAGGAGGAUUUGAGGGGGACUGAGGACUUGGAGGGCAGGCAGGGGCUCUUCAGAGGGACCAGGGGUUUUGAGGGGAGCUUAAGAGAAUUGAGGAGAGCCAGAGGAGCUUGAGGGGAACCAGGGGUUCUGGGGGGGCCGAGGGAUUUGAGGGGUCCUAAGGGAAGCCAGGUGGGAUAUGGGGUUCUGAGAGGAGGUGAGGAGGACUGGGGGUGGUUGAGAGGGCUGGGAGCCAGGGUGAUCUGAAAAGUGCAGGAACCUGAGCAGGACUGGGGGUUCUGAGGGGAGCCAGGGGCACUGAGGGUCACAGGAUUUGUCUGCAGGGAGCCUGCAGCUCCAGCCAGAUGUGCUGACACAGAUCAGAGCACACACAGGUAAUGGUUGGAAAAACACACUUAGCUCCUUCUCAGCGUUACCACAACUCAACACCUCCCAAAAGUCCAGAGCCUCCCUCAGACCAUGGCACGCUUUGCCUGGGACACAGCUGAAAUAGUCCAAGUAUAAUGCACAAGAAGCAUUCAUCUCUGGGAUAAAUCUCACUUAGUGAAGUUUUUGGAACCAGUAUAGUCAUGUCUUGGUAACAUGAAGAAAAUCAACAGAGAGAGCAGCCAGAUUCCCUUAAAAUUAUGUUUGGGAUACAAGUGGGCUUGUUGCCUUGCUUCUCCUGGAAGCAUCUCCUUUGGAGAGACUGAAUGUGGUAAAAUGUAAAAGGCUUCCUGUGUUAAAAAACCUGAUUUUUAAUGACUUCUAUUACCAUCCCAGCAGACAGUGGUUUGUAUGUGCAGCUGGGAAUCUAUUUUUGUGCUCUGCAUGAGUAUUGGGGCAGGUUUCUGGGCUGGGACCUCAGAGAAGUAAAUCAAAACUAAAUCAAAACUCUGCUUAAGGACUCAAACUGUCUCCUGUGGAGCUUUAAGUCUCUUUUUUAUUACUGGAAUGUUUUUUCACAGAACUGGAAAUUUAGUAUUUCUGAGGCUUUCCUAAGUGAGGGAAAGAAUUAUUACAGUAAAGGUAUAAUAUCAUUUUUUAUUACAGUUUUUUAUACCACCCACCUAAUUUUCCUGAAUUUGUUGAUUAUUAUUUUCCCUCCUGAAACAGAUUCUGUAAUUAACAGUUUGUAUCUUUUCAUGCCAGGCUGGGGGGGCUUGGAGCAACCUGGACCAGUGGAAGAUGUCCCUGAAGAAUGAUUUUUUCCUUAUUGGGACACGUCAUAUUUGUCUCCAAUAUUUUUCAGGAAGAAACCAACAUUUUCCUCGUUUAUCCUCGCAGUGGUGGCAGCGCUGAUGUCCCUUUCAGACUGAAAUCCAGCGGCUGGUUGCCCUCGGCUGGCACUGGGCGGGCUCGGGCAGUGCCAGCUGUGUCCCGCUGUGCCCUUCCUGCCCUUCCUGCAGCAGCCUGGGUGUGGGACCAGGAGCCCGUGGGAGCGCAGGAAGGCGAGCAGGGAUGGCCGGAACCGGGACAUUCUGGGAAGCUUCCAAGGUUUGCAUCACACCUCUGCCACAGCUGACUUGGAUCCCUUGGAACUGGAAAUGAGGCUUGCUUCGGGCAGUGGCUCUAAAAAGUAUUCAGAGGUUUGCAUUUUCUUUUUUCAUACAUCAAGUGCUUGUUUAGAGGCCAAUUAUUCCUAAUUAGUUUCAUAUUUGGAGGCGAUUUCUAUAUCCCCUGUAUGCACCAGACCUCACUGGCUCACAAUCAUUACCAGCUGACUGUAAUUUAAUACAGUGAAUUUGGACAAAAUUCACUUCAUUUGGUUGUGCAACUUCUCCAGUUUUGACUUCACCAUCUUGUUGUAGUUAUGAACAAGUUCUCUUACUUGAUUUUAACUGAUUUGCAAAUUAUUCUCAAUAAUUAAUCCCAAGAAUUUAAUUACUCUCCAAAUAUUUUGCUGGGAAAAUCAAGAAUUGGUCACCUUUUAAUGCAUUGCUAGACUGACCUUACCCGCAGGAAUAAAAUAUAGGUAUUGAUUUAGUGAGGCUCAUUUUUUUCCAGGAAAAUUUGGGUUUGAAGGCUUCUGAUUAUUUUUAAAUCACAAACAGAAUUUUUUUUAAAGAAACAUUUGUAUUUUGUGUCAGCAGCAGUUCUGUCACUCCAGGCCCUUGCAAAUUUUCUCUCUCCAUCCUUCUUGUAGCUCCUUUCAGGUACUGAAAGGCCAUAAUUAGGUCACCCCAGCACCUGAUUUUUAAGGGACAAUAUUUAAGUCAUCCAGGAAGGUCUGGUAAGGCCUUCUGGCCAAAACCAAGCUCAUUGCUGCUGUUUGCAUUAUUUUGUGUAUUUUUAUGUUGGGUUUGAAAUGUGUGCCAAGGUCCUGCACAACUGAAAUGGCACCAGGACAUUUCAGAGCUCUCUUAGCUGCUGUUCCCACUUCUCCAGUGAAUUAUCCAUCAGCACUUCUGCAGCUGCUGCUUGGAGGCUCCUCCAGCCUGAAGGUUGAUGGUGUAAAGUCACCUUUAAUGCCCCAUUUAAUUCAGUGUGGUGUUUUUUCUGUAUCAAACCAAUACUUCUGCAGUGUCAGACAUUCCCACAGAGAAAAAACCCCUUGUGAAACAGAGAAGCACAGAAACUCCCAAGCACAUCAGCAUGUCCAGGAUCCUCUUUUAUUGCACUUCCCCAAAUGUUGUUUUGCAAGGAAAUUGGAAUAAAUCUGCCAUGACCUUACCCCAGGAAAGUGAGAGGACACGGAUUAUAAACAGGGAGUCAAUCAUUGCAGAUGAUCACUGUGAUCCUGACGCUGGAGAGAGAGAACAUUGGCAAACCUCUUUGGGAUAAUUUCCUUUGAAUUCUGGAGCUGCUGUGGAACAGAGAAACCUUUCCAGGCAAACAAAUCCCUUCCGUGCCCAGUGAGAUCCCAUCACCCAGAGCCAGGAAUAAACACGGGCAGUAAAUAAUCCCUGUUAAUAAGCUGAAAUCACCGUGUUGCCUUGUGAAACUGUAACAAAAGCAUGUGGGAUCAUGCUCAGGCCUGUUUAAAAACAAACAGUAAUUGCAGCAGCUCUUUGGAGCUGAGCUGCUGAGGGGAAUAUUUGCUUGUUGGAGUGCUUGAUGGCUGUCACAGGGGAGCUCAGCUGGGAUGUUUGGUUGUUGGACAGCUCUUGCAGCACUUCUGCCUCUCCAGAGAUGUUUGGGCACAUCCCUAAAAGAUGGGAAUCUGAAAUGAAGCCUCUGCAGCGCUGUUCAGGUGGAAUUCCUGGCAGAUGAUGGACGUGGAGGCACAGCCCCCCACCCCACAAAACUUUAAUUUGUUUGAGGCUAACAUUUACUUAUCUGAUAGCAGUAAAAAUCCCCUUGUAAUGCUGACACUGAUUCUGUAAAGAUUCAGUGCAUGGCCCUGUGAAAGGGUUGCAACAGCACCAUAACUUGGGAGGUGUUUGGUUGCACAAUGUUUGGAGAAGGCAUUAAAUAUUUGCACAACAAGGGGGUGAUGCCUCAGGGAUGUUUGAAAUAAGGUGAGGACAGCAGAGGGAUUCUCACCAAAAUUCCUCAGCAUUGUCUCAGCAGCCACCCCUCUCUGCAAGGUGACAGUGGCCCCUCAGAGAGGAAGGAAUUUUCCAUGUCCUGCUCCCUGGAUCCCCUCUCUGUGCCCUUUUCCAGGAGCUGGGGAUGCUGAGCUCUGAGGUUCCUUUCAUCAAAACCCAAAAGGGACAGAACCCCCUCUGGGGACAGCCCUGCACUGUCACUGCUGUGGGCACACCUCAAAGCUGAUCCCAACAUUAUUGAUUUCAUAAUUGUUAACUUCUCUUAGACAAAAUAAAACAGAAACAUUGUCCUCAUUGAGACCUUCCUUGAGUAGCUGGGGAUGUUAUUUAGAGUGGAAAACAGGUAGAAUUUAUUGUUAAUUCUAAUUCUAUUGUUCUAAGAAGAAUUUGUGUUGCAGGGAGAUUAAUUAACUUAAAUGAGGCAUUUUAUCUUCACAUACAAAUUUUGUGCUUAGGUUUUUUUAAAGGUUUGCUCAAAGUUAAACACUUAUAGCCUGUAUUUAUGUCAGUAGAUACAUAAAUUACUCAUGGAAUUAUUCAUUGAACCUGAUGAUGCUGGAGAUCUUUUCCAGCCUUAAUGAUUUCUGGGAUUCUCUUACCCAAUUUUCAGCUCACCCUAUAAAAUGUGUGAUGACAGUUUGCAGGUUUUUAAUUUUACUCUUCUGCAGGAUUUCCAGUAAGGAGGUGAUUGAAGCAGAUUGAGCACCCUGACAGCAGGAAAGGCAGGUUAUUCUUCAGGAACCCCUAGAAUUCUUUCACAGAACUAAUGAAAGUCCACAUUGUGAUUUGUUUGUAAUGCAAAGUUUAUAUUUGGUUGUUGUAGGCACCACUCCUGGGACUUAAAAAUCAACUCGGAUUACAUAUUAGUCUGAGUAUUAGAUGGACAUGGAAUUAAAACAUCAGAGCAGCUAUGUCCAGUUCUUUAAGUAAUUAAUGUAUAUAAAAUCUCAUUCCCAUGCUGACGAUGGUUUGGUUUCUCUCAUCUCUCAUUGGUCAGAGAAUUACCUCGCAAUAAUCUCGUUUUCUUGGUUGUGAUUAGCAAUAACUCCUCCUUUGUUCUUUUCUGCAUCACUGUGUUCCCAGAACUUCUGAGAAAAUGAUCUUUUUCGCCUGGAUUAGUCACGGUGUUUGGACAAACAUGGCCUUGUUUCCUCAAGAAAUGUAUCAGCACCACUGUGUUUAUUUCUCCACAGCCUUAACCAGCAGGAGGAUGGGGGACUCCAGCUGAACAUUUGGAUGAAAAAAUCUGGUGAAAUAGCAGCUUUUACAAAGCUCAGUGUGGGCAGUGUGGUGCUUUUCAUGAGUGUUGGAGUGCCUGGCCAGUGUUGAUCCUGUACACACUCCAAGGGACAGGAGAGCUGUGAGCUCAGCUGGCUUGGAUGCAGUCAGCAGCUGCCCAAAGGACUUGCAAACAUGUCAGGCUCAAGGAACAGCUUGUGGAGAGCAGGAGAGGGGCACAGUCAUUGCCAGCAGCUUUCACUCCCCUUGGAGGCACCACAGGGAGAAAGCUCUUCCACUGUGAUCCCUGGCAAAGGGAGGGAGCUGGUGUGGUCUGGCAGAGCUCCCAGCACAUCAACAGCCCCAUCCCAGAGAGGGAGUGACCAGGCUGUGCUCACCAUCCCCUGGCUCCACUGGAGCUGAAAUGCUGCAAUGGGCACUAGUGUUCACUGGUUUUCCUAAAGAGUGGCAGUUUUUAGGAGAGACAGCAAAUGAAAUUGGGAUGAGUUUCAUGUCUAAAUGUCUAUUUAAUGUCUAAGUGGUGGUUCUGGCUUGGAAAAUGGGCCUUUGGUGCCUUCAAAUGUUCACAGAAUCAUGGCAUUCCAGGCUGGAUGGAUGGAAGGUCCCUAAAUCUCUCAUUCCCAGCCCCUGCCCUGGGCAGGGACACCUUCCACUGCCCCAGGCUGCUCCAGCCUGGCCUGGGACACUGCCAGGGAUCCAGGGGCAGCCACAGCUGCUCUGGGAAUUCCAUCCCAGCCCCUCCCCACCCUCCCAGGGAGGGAUUUGGGUUUGGCUUAGAAUAUAAAGCCAUGUCCAGGAUGGGUUCAUUAAUUUUUUUUUUCAAAGAAAAAAUGCCUUCAGAGUUGUGGAAUUUUAUUCUUCCAGCUAUUGAUGUUAUAGAAUACGCUGAACUAUUUGUAUGGAUUCAAUUAAUUAAAUUAUCCCAGUUUAAAUAAUUUGCUGCCAGUUAAGAGCCUGGUGCUGUCAAUUUUUUUAAAUAUAGAUCUUUUUAGAUUGCUGAUGUGUUCACAAGCAACACAGUGCCACAUCUAUAUAAAUUAUAAAUAAAUAUGUAUGUAUUUAGUGAGAGAGGUGUAACCCAUGAUUGAAGUGUUAUUGUGGCUGAAUCCCUGACAUCAUCCACCUUUCCCUCUGAAAGGAUUUUUAAUUGAGUAUUUAAUUGUCCAAACAAAUAGAGAAAGUUUAAAGGAAAUUCUUACAUCAAGGAAAAAGGGAGAACUUUCCCUUUUUUUUUUUUCUGUGUAAGCCAUUGCAGAGUUUCCCUGCAGAAAGCUCCAACCUGUGCUGACAUUUUGGUUUCCUUUUUUUCCCUCAUCCUGCUGCCUUGAUUCCAGAGGAGAACAAUGGGAGGGCAGUGAGUGCUGAGGGUAUUUAGAGCACAAUCCUGGGAAAUGCUCCCAUCACCACAGAGCCCUUUUCCUUCCCCUGGUGGCUCCUCUGGCUGUGCUCCAGCCUCUGCCUCCAGAGCCUCUUCCCCAGGGGAAUUGCUAACAUGGAAAACUCCUGGAUUGCAGUGGCACCUUGGGAAGGCACGAGACACCUCAGGCAAGCCCUGGAUCCUUUCCUGCUGCAUUCAGAAGGUGCUGCUGGGCGACUUACACUGAUUCUAACAGCUCCAAAGGUCAGAGGUUUCUUUUUAAUGAAUUGUUUUUCCCAGCCUUCUUAAAUCCAAUGAUCAGCAUCAGCUUUCCAUUUCUGUAGUGAUGGCAGGGUUUGAGAGGCAGCAGAUACCUAAUUUGUACCUACAUUUGAUUUAGCUAUAAAUUGCCAUUUCAUUGCAAGACUCUUAAAAUGGAAGGGAGUGAUAUCAAUAUUUCACAUGGUUGGGAGAGGAAAUGCCUGGCAGUCCCAGGGGAAGAGUCACAGCACCUGUGCUGAACUCACCCAGAUUUUUGGCAGGAAUGAUCUCAUUGCCCAUUGUGAACGGAACAGAAAACAAUUCUGACACAAAGCAGGAGAAGCCUGACUCAGGAGGUGCCAUCACUGCAAUCAGAGAAGGUCUCAAUGAGCUGGAGAAGCUGAGAGGUGAUGGGACAACCAGCAGGAGCAUCCCCAAGCCCUGGAAGAGGAACACUUUUGGAGUGGCACUUUGGGAGUGGCACUUUUAUAACCCUUAUUGGCUUUGAGGCUUAUCCUGAGCCCACAGAACCAACAAUAAAUCGUCACUUCAGGGCCAGCAUUUAGUGCCAGCUCAGAGAAAUGCAGGAUGGCCGUGGCAGGUGUUAAACACCCCGAAUAAACCCUGGAGGAGGAGCCCAGGGUAACAAUGCUGCUUGCCAAAUCUGUUUGCACAGUGCACAGAGCAACAAGGAAAACAUUGCAAGGGCACAAAGGUUUCCUUACAGAUCCACGGUGGGCUGCUGCACCAGCAGAGCUGUUUGGGGCUGGAAGAAAAGCACCAACAAACUGGGACUGGGCCAGGCACUGCAUCCGUGGGGACUGGGAUGCUGUGGCUGCAGGAUAAACCCCCAGCCAAGCCCCCAGGGAGCCAGUUAUGCUGUUUGGAACCCAUUUCUUUUUCCUCAUUUCCUUGAAGAUGUGUGUGGGGAGCAGUGAUCCAUCCAGGCCCUCUUCCCAGUCCUGUGGGAUGUGUGUUUGCUUCCCAUUUCCUGGAAGCACUCUGUGUUUGGGGAAGGUUGCUGGGCCACAAGGGAGGAGCUGCUGGACACCAUCCACAGCCACUCUCAGGCUUUUUCUGUUGGGUGGAACUCCCUGAGAAUCCCAGCCCUCCAGCUUUGCAGGGAAAUCACUUUUCCUUUGGGGCACGCAGGGUGUGAGGCUGGCUCUGGGAAAUAUUCCCAGGGAAGAAAGGCUGGGAAUGUGCUGACAGCAGCACUGCUCUUUCAGGUGUCAGUGUAAGAAGCUUAUAAAAAGCUCCAGUUUUGCUUGGUGAGCAGAAAGUGCAGGAAAAUGGGCUGGGAACGUGUGGAGUAGAAGCUGAAAUGAUGUUGGGACAGCUCGGGCUGGAGGCAGGAAUGCUCAGCAGGAAGGAACAGGCAGCCUUAAAAGGAGAACUUGAACAUGUGAAUUCUAGACAAAAAAAUGAUACAAAGCUGAUGAGUUAUGACCAAUUUGCAACAUGAUUUUGGAAAAGAAGGGUUUGGAUUCAGAGGAUGCAGGUUUGGAGCCCCUGACUGUCAGAGCUGUGAUCUGAGUUGGGGGGGGUGCCCUCCCUCCUCCCCAGCAGCACCAGAGCAGGGCUCACAUGAGCUCACCCCACCCCUUAUCUCCCGUGCACCUGCUGGCUCCAGCUCCCUGCAAGAAUCAGAUUUUCAGGGUUAUAAAAGCCCUCAUCAGUUGUUUCUCCUCUUUUGGUGGGAUGUAAACUCAGAGGAGCCAAGCAAACCACGGCAGUGGUUCCCAGGCUUGGGCAGAGCCCGAGGGGUGCAGUCCCAGAGGAAUGGGGGAUCCUUGUCAGCUGGAUCCAGGGAAUUCAGCUGGGGGUGCUGCAGCCAAGGCCUGCCCCAAAGCUCGUAUUGUUGGAGUGGAACAUAAGAAGUGUGAGUUCAGAUGUGCCAGCACACUCAGACAAGGCAGCAAACACUCCAGCUGCAGGAUGGGAUGUCCUUACUUGGCGUGCCUCUCUAAAGCAGGAUUUUUAUCUGUUCCCUUUCCUCAGUUCAGUUUUCCCUCCCCAUUUUCCAUUCCCUAUCACGUUCCAGAGCCAUGCCCUUGGCACUUGUUGUCAGAUGUCAGAUAUUUGAACUUGGAGUUGUAUUUUCUAUGAAUGCUUUGUGGUUGUGGAUCUCAAAUUUCCAGGGAAAAAAUGAAAGCAGCUGUAUUUGCCUUCCAGAUAAGAGAAAAAAAAGAAAACUUAAUUUAUUUUCUCUCCAAUUUCUUCUAAUCUGACUUCAUCUCCUGGUUACCAUGAAGGGAGUGGUGGAGUCCUCAUCUCUGGAAGUGUUUAAAAAUCCUGAGGAUGUGGUUUAGUGCUGGGUUAACAGCUGGACUGAUAGUCCUGGAGGCCUUUUCCAACUUUAGGGAUUCUGGGAUGAUUCUAAAAGGACAAAGAACUUGUGGUUCAAAAGGGUUUCAGCUCCUCUGAGUGUAACCAAAGCAGAUUCCACAGCAUCUGUCCAUGGCCAGGUCAGCGUGCUGGGAUUUCCUUCCCCAUCCAAGGAGAAAUUAGUUUAUAUGUGCAAUUCAGUCAUUUAAAUAUUAAUAUCAUUGGGAAUCUUGUUCUACUGGAAGCAGGGAGAGGUAAAAUCCAUCUCUGGGAUCCAUUCCUUGUGCUGCUGGUGAGGGGUGGAUGGUAUUCAGGAUUUGCCUAAAUGGAAGAGAUAAAUACAGAAAUAAACCAAGUUGUGAGGGAAAGGUUCUCCAAGCACAGCAAUUUCCACUGAAACCAUCUGAGAAGUUGCUUUACUCAUUUCCUUCUGCUCAAACCAGGUUGUUUUCAAAGAAUUCUGUUCUUUUCCUCCUUUUCAAGGACCACGUGGAGCCCAGGAGCAGCUCAGACUCAAGUGGUGAAAGCACAGCACCAUUUUCCUGCCUUGUGGAAAGCAGGUGAGUCCUGGGGUCCCCUAAGAAAUGACAUUUCCAAGCCAAGGAAGCUGGAAUGACCUUUCCUUGAAACUCUGGCCUAGGAAUAAUUCCCUUCACCUUUCCUGAGUGGGGCUGGGCUGGCUGUGGUGCCAGGAAGGUGAGGGGAAUCUUUCAGUUACUCACCUGGAGCACUUGUAUUUAUUCACUUGUCAUUUAUGGGGACAAUUCUCAUUUCCUUCUCCCAGGCCAUGAGUAAUAUUGAGGAAAUUGUUUGCACUUGGAAACCACAAGGUGGGGAGGUCAGGGAUAUAAAAAUGCAAAGAAUUGUAAUCUGUGAGUGAAACUGUGAAAUCAAGUGUUGAGCAAGAUGUUUCUAAAGGAAACAAUAUAUUUUCAGAAUUAGAUCACAAGGGAUUUUUUUUUUUUUUGCUGUGCAGAAUAAUUUCUCAUUCACUCUUUGAAGGAAAUGAAAAAGAAAAUUGCAUUUCAUAUCCCUCUCCAGCCCCUUACUUUAACAAAUACUUAGGCAGAAUUUCUUGUCCUCUAAUUUGAAUUAUCAAUUUGUGAAAUAGUUUUUUCCUCCCCUCUCCAGCUUCUUUCCAAUUCUUUGCCUUUAAGGAAAUGAUUAUGCUCCCCCUUUCCCACCCUUUUCUCUUUUCCUCAGAAUUAGAGCUUUCUGUAAUUUUUUUCCCCUUGGUAUGACUUUCUUGGGUUAUGAAGCAAAGCCUCAUACUCUGAGAUAAAGCUGGAUAUGUGGAGAUGACUCAGGAUUAUUGGAAUAAUUGUGACUUUUCAUUUUUGAUUUUAUUUUAAACCAUCCCAACCCGAUGAGAAUAUUUAACAUAACCAUGCCAACUACAGGGGUAGAAUUUCCUUGAAUUUCCUCGGAUCCAAGGCCUGGGAGAGCUGGUGAGAAGGAAUUCAGCUGAGGGGAGGGAUGAAUUUGAAAGUGAGGGAUCAGGUGUAUCAGCAAAGGAAUUCCAGCUCAGGGAACAACGGCACCACUGAAUCAAGCUGUUUGCUUGGAAAGUUCUGCAGGCUGCAGCAGACAGAAGGAAAGAAAUCCACCCCACCUCAGGCAAGUCUUGGAAAGGCUCCAGCAGAGUUCAGGCACUCGAGGGCACAGGAAAUGCCUGAGGAGGAGCUGCUGGAUGUGCAGAAAAUGCUCAGCCUUGGGGGGGAAAGGCAGGAGCCUGGCAGGAGAUGUGCCCUGAAGGAAGGAACUGAGGGAGAGAGCAGAGCUGAGGGGACUGCAGGAGCCUGGCAGGAGAUGUGCCCUGAAGGAAGGAACUGAGGGAGAGAGCAGAGCUGAGGGGACUGCAGGAGCCUGGCAGGAGAUGUGCCCUGAAGGAAGGAACUGAGGGAGAGAGCACAGCUGAGGGGACUGCAGGAGCCUGCAGAGAGGGGGUGCUGGUGCAUCCCUGGGGUGUCCCACAGCCUGGCUUUGGGGACAGGAUGGUUCCUGUGGUCACAGCCACGAGCCUCAGCAAGGGCACAGCCAAGGUGGAGGUGGAGGGCACUGGGGGAAAGGCAAAUACUGGGAAUUAGCAAAUGGAAAACUGUCCUUUCCUCCUGUUAAAUAUCCUGGGUGCACGGCUGUCAUUGCUUACUCUCUGAUCAAGAGCCUGGUGUGGCACAGAACAAGAUAAACACAACCCCAGGCUCGAUUUAGCUUUGCUUCCCAAAGUUAUCUGUUUGAUCUGUGGACAGAAAUUGUCUCCCUGCGAUCAGGAAACUCCAGGUGGCUCUGCAAGGUCAGUUAUCUUUGAGCUCCCUCAAGUGGCAAUGAAACCUUGGAGUUUGUCAUUGAACCCUCGAGUUUGUCACUGAAACCCUCGAGUUUGUCACUGAAACCCUCGAGUUUGUCACUGGAAUCCUCACGUUUGUCACCGAAACUCUGAAAUUUUUUACAAAAACCCUUGAGUUUGUCACUGAAGCUCUCGAAUUUUUUACAAAAACCCUUGAGUUUGUCACUGGAAUCCUCAAGUUUGUCACUGAAACUCUGAAAUUUUUUACAAAAACCCUUGAGUUUGUCACUGAAGCUCUCGAAUUUUUUACAAAAACCCUUGAGUUUGUCACUGGAAUCCUCAACUUUGUCACAGAAACCAUAGAGUUUUUAACAAAAACCCUUGAGUUUGUCACUGAAACUCUCAAAUUUUUUACAAAAAUCCUCGAGUUUGUCACUGAAAUCCUCGAGUUUGUCACUGAAAUCCUCAAGUUUGUCACUGAAAUCCUCAAGUUUGUCACUGAAACUCUCCAAUUAGUUGCACAAGUGCUUUUCCAAGGAAGCCUUGUAAUUUAAGACCAUGUUUUUCACAGGCCCUGUGGUAAACUGAGAUGCUCAGAUUUCAAGGAAUCCACAGGAGUUGGGAGCAGUUGAGCAUGGUUCAUUUAACACACAUUUCUGUUUUGGCAGGUCUCUGACCAGACGUGUAUCAGGUGAAAUGAAGUGGUUUGUGUGCAGGAGGAGCCUGCAGCUGGCUCACAACAUGACACCUGCAUGUUUUGAGGGGUUGUUUUGACUUUCUUCCAUGGUUCUUACCCAAUUCCUGACAGAGUGGCUGGGAGGUGAACGUGGUUCAGCAGCUCAGGUAGAACUCAGCCCUUUGCUUUCUACACCUUGAAAAGGUAAAUAAAUCCUUGGGCCUAAAUCACAAGGGGUUGUGCCUCAUUAGGAGCAUAUUUUAUUCAAAAAGAGCAUCUUUUCAUCAGAAAGCCAUUGAUGAUGUGUAGAGAGGAUUCAGGUCACUUUUGGUGCAAGAAGGUGAAAUUUGAUGGCAGACUGGAGCUUUUUACAGUAAAAAAGUAGCUUUUUCAGGGGUUUGUCUGAUAUGGAGCCUUUUGGAGCAAACAGCUCCAGAAAAAUGACUUUGGAGAGGAGAAGCCCUCCACUGUUUGCAGGGGCUGCAGGGAAGCUGGAGAGGAAGAGUUCCUCAGGAAUGGGAGUGCCAGGACAAGGGGGGGGCCUCCCACUGCCCCAGGGUGGGAUACUGGGAUGGAAUUGUUCCUGGGAGGGUGGGGAUGGGAUGGGAUGGAAUUCCUGAUUUGCUGUGGCUGCCCUGGAUCCCUGGCAGUGCCCCAGGCCAGGCUGGACACUGGGACAGGGGAAGGUGUCCCUGCCAUGGAUGGCCUCUGAUGUCCCCUCCAUCCCACACCGUGCUGUGACUCCAUGAUCCCACGACUUCAACACCCAAAAUAAGGACAAGGGAGCAAUUUCACAACUGGUGCAUUUCCCUGGGGGCUGCUGGCAGCCUGGCCCUCAAACUCCAUUUCCACUUCCACUUCUGUUAGACAUUCAUAUCAUAAUAUUGGCUUUUCACAAAUAUUAAAAUGGAUUUUAUAUGUGUAGUGUUAAAGUAACUUUGUCAUAAAGAUACAGUUUUUAUUCCCGUUGU